UACGGAGGGUGCGAGCGUUAAUCGGAAUAACUGGGCGUAAAGGGCACGCAGGCGGGCUGUUGAGUGAGAUGUGAAAUCCCCGGGCUUAACCUGGGAAUAGCAGUUCAGACUGGGAGUCUAGAGUACUUUAGGGGAGGGUAGAAUUCCACGUGUAGCGGUGAAAUGCGUAGAGAUGUGGAGGAAUACCGAAGGCGAAGGCAGGCCCUUGGGAAUGUACUGACGCUCAUGUGCGAAAGCGUGGGGAGCAAACAGG
rnacentral:rRNA from 1 species